AUGGACGACUACGCGCGGGAGAUGAUGGAGCUCAAGACGCUCGUCACCCGCACCCUCGAGAAGAAGGGCGUCCUCGCCAAGAUUAGGGCUGAACUGAGAGCAAGUGUGUUUGAGGCUAUAGAAGAGGAGGACCGUGUGAUAGAGGAGAACGAAGAUGGCGGGAAUCCUGCUUUGCUUGGUAGCUGCAACGACCGUGCUAAGCAGCUGCAUGCUUCACCGUCAGGUAGGUUAUUAACAGCACUUAUAGGUGAAUACUUGGAGUGGGCCCAGCUAAGUCACACGAUGAAAGUUUAUUUGCCAGAAUGUAAUCUGCCCAAGGAUUUUUGGAAGAAUGAGCUAAAGGAUUUCUCUAACAAAAAUGGAGCUGAAGGGAGCAGGAGCGCUGAGAGUGGUCCCAUGCUUCUAGAUGUUCUUGAAGGAUAUCUCAAAUAUGAGAAUUUGUCUCAAACGAGGAUGGCUGGUAGGAGAAUGAUCAAUUCUGAACCUGAGCCAACAUUGAAUACUGAGCAUCGGAACAUGAGGAGGCCACCAUCUUCAUCUUCAAUCGCUGGCAUGCCUCCUAUGGGAAGGCAAAUGCCACCUUCGCAGACAUCAGACCGAAGAGGGGGCUCUUCUGCUUCCAAUACAAGGAAAGAUGAGUACAACUGGGGAUAUGAUGCUGAUGAUCUCUCGGAGGAAGUAUUGCGUACAUCCACUGCUCUAGAGAACAUCCAGUUAGACCGGAAAGCCCGAAACCUGACGACAUCUUGGAGGCAUCCAGGCAGUGGUGCCGAGUAG
rnacentral:rRNA from 1 species